UGCCCAGCAACUCCUAUCCCUACCUCCUCGUGGUACUGGCCGGGGUACGAGUAACCUUGGGGAAGAUCGAGUAACCAACCCCCGGUGGGAACUUUGGUCGUAUGCUGACUGGGAAGG
rnacentral:ribozyme from 1 species